rnacentral:lncRNA from 1 species
GGCCUUCAGGGGCAUGUGAACCAUCCAGGAGAGAAGGCCUGAGCACAAAGGAAGGUCACAUCUGGGGUGUCCUGAGCCCUGUCUUGCCCUUAGGCCCAUGGAGAGCUGGCCCCAAACUCCCCUCUCCGGGAAGGUUUCAUCGUGCCUGCUCUGUGUGCCCGGCAGGCUGGUCUUCUAAGCUCUAGGUCUCCACUGGUUUCUCUUGUCCCCUUCCCAGACCCUCUGAGGGAGUCUGCAGGACUCUAGUUCCUUCCUACAACUCGCAGUGGCCAGCAGAGGGCGCUGCCCAAAGGCCGAGGCCUCUAUGGAGGGCACUGGAGAAUCGGCUUCCCUGUGUCCAGCUGCACACAAGGCACACCCCCUGGGCCCCAGCCAACCCAGCCCAAGGAGAAGGCGCAGAGGCCCCGCCCUGAGAAAGCAAGGCCUUCUAGUCAGGGGUAUCAUCCUGACCUGACCUCUUCACCUUGACUCUCUUUGACCCACCACGAACAGGCCUCAGCUCAAGCCACGUUGUAUCAGGUCAUUGAGCUUGACCUCGGAUUGGAAUGCUGGUUAACCACCCCGUCCCACAACGCUGGCCGACUGAGGAUCCACACCUCUCUGCGCAGCCUCAGCCCUACUCCUUCCCUGGCCCUCAGUGACUACCGUGCAUGCGCCCCUUCCUCAGCCUCCAAGUCCGACCCAGCCUUGUAUCGUGUGGUCAGGGAGAGCCACAGAACUUGGAGCCUGUCAUUGGGGCCAGGCCGGCUGUGCCCCAGUUCUGCAGCCUUUCCAGCUUGGGACUAUGGGAGUUCCUCUGAAGGGCUUCUGGCUCCGUCCCGAGCCCACAUGGAGCUUUCCUGAUGCUGGGGACCCUGGAGAUGUUUGCUGUUUCCUUGGCUUCCCUGAGAAAAGCUCCCCUCUCCGUGUGGGCCCUGGCCUCUGUUUCCCGCCAGCCUUCCCUCACCUGCCCCUUCCAUGCCUCCCCGUGCAGUGUCACCCCCAUCUUCACCAACAGCAAAGAGCAGGAGGAGCUCAUGCAGCAGCUGACAGAAUUCCAGGUGGAUGAAAUCUACACAGUGCCAGAGGUGGGGACCGUCGUUGGAGGCACACUUUCCAGGUGAAGUGCCUUGUUUGCCACCCACUCCGCCCUCUCGUAGCCCUGUACGCAGACAUCCUGGCCCAAAGGAGGAGCCCCUGGAGCUAAACAGCCUGCCUCAGGAAUCCUUGCUUGCAGAUUAGGCUUUCACUAGUGGACAUCUGGAAGCUGGUCACUUAGCGCUGCCUCCUGGGACUCUCCAGGCCCCUGAGGGAGAAGUGUGGGUCGUGGGCCACAGGACGACACCUAGAGCAUGUUCAGCUGACUUCGUCUCGCAUAGGAAACCGAGAAAAGGACAGCCAGAGCACAGGGUGAAACCCAAGGGGACCACUUGCUCACGCAGGGACCAGGUGUUGGGUGUUACCAGGCCGCGGGUGCCCCACUGGAGCUGUCACUGCAGCCUCUUCUGGUGUCAGCCUUCAGAGUGAAUGCCGGGCCAGCCGGGCAGCCACCUCAUAUCCGAGUCUGAGUUAGGGCUCCUGUCCCUACUUGAGGAACCCAGCCCCGGAAGGGAAAGCAUGCUCAGUGUGACCCUAGCGAAGCAGGCAGGGGACCCCAGGCUGACCCUG